CCUACGGGAGGCAGCAGUGAGGAAUAUUGGUCAAUGGGCGGACGCCUGAACCAGCCAAGUCGCGUGAGGGAAGACGGCCCUAGGGGUGGUAAACCUCUUUUGUCAGGGAGCAACGCCGGCUACGUGUAGCCGGACUGAGAGAACCUGAAGAAAAAGCAUCGGCAAACUCCGUGCAAGCAACCGCGGUAUUACGGAGGAGGCGAGCGUGAGCCGGUUUUAUUGGGUUUAAGGGUGGCGCGGGCGGUCUGUUAGGUCAGGGGGAAAAGCCCGGGGCCAACCCCGGGCCCGCCGUUGAAACUGGCAGUCUCGAGUGGGAGAGAAGCAUGCGGAAUGCGCGGUGUAGCGGUGAAAUGCAUAGAUAUCGCGCAGAACUCCGAUUGCGAAGGCAGCAUGCCGGCUCCACACUGACGCUGAGGCACGAAAGCGUGGGUAUCGAACAGGAUUAGAUACCCUUGUAGUC
rnacentral:rRNA from 1 species